ACGGACCCGCGGAGAGAGCGUUAAAUUUGCACUUACCGUUCCGCAGAGAGUCACUGGCGAAAAACAACAAUAUCUACAAGAGGAGACAGGUAGCCGUUUCACAGGCAGGCCAAUUAAUGAAAGCGACAAAAUGGCAAAUAAUACUUUGGAAAAUGUCCAAGGCAUGACCAUAAAGGCCAAGCGAUGUACAGGUGGACCCGGCGCAAAGCGUUUACAUUCACAAUUUAAUUUAGAACAAUUCGUUGUGAUUGGUUUACGAUACAUUUUUAAAAUAAAUAUCAUUUGCAAAUGUAUUUUAACAUAAUAAAGUAUUGGGUUCUAACUGUCAAAAUACAUAAAAAUUUCAACAAUAAAAUACCUACAAAUAUCAGUCACUCUGUUAAGACUUCACAGUAGAAAUGUGGGGGAGUAGCAAAUAAAACGCACAAAGGGAACGCCGGAGAUCGGGAGAGAAUGGAGCACCGAAGAGAGCCGGAGGUGGACCGAAACAGUUAGCCACUAAUUGCAAGCAUGCGUCGCCACAGCUUUUGUCACCCGCAGAUUUGCUGCGGUGGACAUUUGCUGAAUCAUUUGUUUAUGGCCGAAUCAAGAGUGUGUUUAUAUUAAUUACCGUUUUAAGCUGCCUCCCUGUUUGUUUUCCUCUGCUGCUGCUGCUUCUUCCACGCUGGAAUUUGAAAUUCUUUGCUGUCAAACACUUCAAUGAAAACUUUUAUGUGGAGCAAUUGAUAAAGCCGCUCACGCACACACUGACACUGGGCUGCCGGACUCUACGCACACACGCACGCGCUUUGGCAUUUGCGCAACAACAAAAUCCAUCGAUCGCCGCGUUUUGAUUAAUUGUUUAAAUUACGUUUGUUAUUAUUGUUUGGCUGGGCCACGAAAAGCUUCCGCAUCGAACCGCACUCGAGAGCUUUGGAAAAAUAACUGUGCAGCAGCAACUGAUCAAUCGACUUUUGGGGCCUCACUGUUCUCUUUCUUUACCACUCUCUACCACUCUCCCGCUCUCUCUCUCGCGCUGGGAGCGAUAAGUGGGGAUUACAACAACAAAUCUGGUUGUAUGAAUGAAUUUCAUUUGGCACGCUCUGCUUUAAGAGAUCUGGACAGGGAAGCGGCGCUCUUAAGAUUUACUCUUUAUUGUGUAGCAGGUUAUUUCUGCUGAGUGAUUAUUAUCAUUAUGAAGUGAUCUGAUUUGCUGCUGAUAUUAAGGCAAGACCGGUCAAUAAUUACACUGGCUAACAAAAGCAAAAGUUUGUUUAAAAAGGGUUGAAAUAUAGGCAAUGGUGGAAUUUAACUUACAUAGCCUGUUAUACAGUUUAUACUUAAAGUAUUUUAAAAUCGUUUUAAGCAAUAUCACAUACAAAAAAUAACAUUUAUAAAAUAAUAACAGUAAAUGCCAUGUUUCUUUCAUACAACAUUUUAAUUUUCCACCUUCUAUAGCUCUCGAGACAGAGAUUUGGACUAAAAACCAAUAAUAUAUAUAUAGUGUAUAUAUAUUUGUUAAUAUUUUAAAGUAUAUUUGUUUGCCUGCGAAGAAUCCAUACGAUUUGUAACCCAGUGUAAUUAUAGUUUUUACAAGAUUCAUUUCAGCAGAGGAAGAUUAAAACGCGCUUUAAAUAAUGAUAUGGUAUGUGAUUAAAACAAGAGCGAAUCGUGUUUCCGAUGGGAUCAUCACAGAUCCCCAUUAGGACGACAAGAUGGAGGUAUCUUCCAGAAGAGACACAAUGUAUGAGGUGAUAAUUCACUUGUACGUCACCCGCUCGCAUUUGCAUUUGCAUUUGCCAUUCGAUCCCAUCCCAGUCCACUAACUACGGUUAUCCUCAAUCAGCUAAUUUAUUUCCCUGGAAAAUAUCGCCCCCACAUGGAAUGAAGGCGAACGAUUUUCCCUGCCAAAGGGGCUCCACCUUCAUUCAAAUGGGGGAAACCAAACAAUUAAGCAAACAAAACGACAGCAACCACGGCUGCAGUAUCCAACUGCAGAUCCAGCUCCCACUUCAGCUCCAACUCGCCAGCCCCGACUCUUGAUAGCCCCUCCAGAUAGAAACUGUCAAACAAAACAAACUACACGAUAGAAACCAAACAAAGCGAGGCUUCCAAAGUGUGCUGCGUUUUAGUACCCGGUACAUGAGGGGUAUAAUAUCGUCUACAUUUUGUAAAAACUGAAUUUCUACAAUCGGUUUUUUUUAACUUGCCAUUGGAUAAUAUCAACAGGUAUCUAAUUGUCGAAAUGCCUAGAUCCAGCGUAUUAGCUUGUUUAUUGUUGCCCUGCCUUUGUCUUUUGUUUUUGCAUGGCAAAUGGAAGACUAAGUACAAGGAAAGGCGUCAAUGACGACCGACGAAGAGGACCGACUUCGACCUUCGCCGGCUAUGCUAGCAGCAACAACAACGACCCAUCAAAAAGGAAGUUUAAAAUGAAAAAAAAAAACACUACAAAAAAUCGAAGCCCCAAAGAAAAGGACAGAGAGAUGCAUCGAAUAUAAAUUAACUGCCAUGAACGAGGCAAAUUUACUAUAAUUUUUAGUGCACUGGCGAGAAAAGCAGUAACAAUGAAGGCUGCACAGAAAGUCAGAAAACAAAACGACAAAGCGGCAAUGCUGGUGGGCGUGUACCGCUCCCCAUCCGCCCACCACUGCCCCGCCCCCUUGCCCCCGCCGAGGUGCAAGCCAAGUGCAAUCUAUGCCAGCGAUCGACCAAGUACAAAUGGUUAGGAGAUGCAACAGUAACAGCGAAAACGGCAACAGCCACAAUAGCUGCCGAGGUCAAACAGCAAUCAAUAAAGGUCAGCGACUACCGCCAGGGCACGCCUGAGUGCCUACCGUCAAUGCCGGAUUGCUGGAUUGUCUGUCGUUUUGCCGGAUUGUCGGAUCAUCGGGGGGAUGUGGGGCUUGUGGUGGCAGAAGAGGUGGAGAACCAGCUCCCAGCCCACACCCAAUCCCAAUCCCACUCCCUCCCCUUUUCCAGUCACUUGCCCAUUCAUGCGGCCCACGAUGAAGAUGCUUUAUGUUGCAAAUUGAAAGCUGGACAUCCAAUCGACUGAAGAAGAACAAGACCAGCCCGUUGCAAGGGGGGCAAGGGGCGGCAGGAAGGUGGGAAAGAGAAGGCAGGCCGACAAAUGUAGACAGUUGCGACUGCGCAGACGCAGCAGCAGCAAAAGCUUAAGAAGCUGAAGAAACCGCGUCAGAAGCCAACAGAAGUGGGAGCGAGAAGGAGCUAAACGAUUGGAGGGAGAAAAGCACACUGAUGGAAAAUCGAUUAACCCUUUGGUUCCCAUUUUAGUGGCUCGAUAUUGAUUCAAA